UAUAACUGAGUGAUAUGAAUCUCUUAUGUCCAGUACCUGAUCAUCAGGUAUAUCAACCAGACCACAGGACUAAUGUCUCCUGUUACAGACUCUCUUAUGUCCAGUACCUGAUCAUCAGGUAUAUCAACCAGACCACAGGACUAAUGUCUCCUGUUACAGACUCUCUUAUGUCCAGUACCUGAUAAUCAGGUAUAUCAACCAGACCACAGGACUAAUGUCUCCUGUUACAGACUCUCUUAUGUCCAGUACCUGAUCAUCAGGUAUAUCAACCAGACCACAGGACUAAUGUAUCCUGGUAGUAUCUGUUAUAGACUCUCUUAUGUCCAGUACCUGAUCAUCAGGUAUAUCAACCAGACCACAGGACUAAUGUCUCCUGUUACAGACUCUCUUAUGUCCAGUACCUGAUCAUCAGGUAAAUCAACCAGACCACAGGACUAAUGUCUCCUGUUACAGACUCUCUUAUGUCCAGUACCUGAUCACCAGGUAUAUCAACCAGACCACAGGACUAAUGUCUCCUGUUACAGACUCUCUUAUGUCCAGUACCUGAUCAUCAGGUAUAUCAACCAGACCACAGGACUAAUGUCUCCUGUUAUAGACUCUCUUAUGUCCAGUACCUGAUCACCAGGUAUAUCAACCAGACCACAGGACUAAUGUCUCCUGUUACAGACUCUCUUAUGUCCAGUACCUGAUCACCAGGUAUAUCAACCAGACCACAGGACUAAUGUCUCCUGUUACAGACUCUCUUAUGUCCAGUACCUGAUCACCAGGUAUA